CUCCUCACGAAUGAAACCAGAUUCCGUAAACAACAUUGAGGAAGAAUGAAAGGAAUAUCCUCUCGAGGUAAUCAUAUUUGCUUCGGUAGAUAUGCUCUUCAGGCACUUGAGCCCACUUGGAUCACAUCUAGACAAAUUGAAGCGGGGCGGCUGGCAUUUC